AUUAAGGUGCCUCACUUACAAAGAUUAAUCGCCAUUGAACCGCUGAAAAUAAAGUGUUAAUUAUAAUUAACUGCUAUAUAAUAAGGCACGUGCGAUCUUUUUCAUUCAUUGUUAUAAACAAUGGGUCGGUAAAUCACUAUAUUUAACGAUAUGGUUGACAACUUUCUGGUGGGAAUCCCUUCUACUUAUUAGUUAAAUAAAAGAAGCCUUCAGAAGUAGCAGGUGCCACGAAAAAGUUUGCAAACCGAGAACACAAAGCCGGAAUGCCAGUACCGUAAACUUAGACGUCUAAAAACUGCUGAGCAAGAGCUGAAUGAGAGAGGCCAGACCGCAUCGCCGCUCAGAAUCCGCAAUGAGGUGAACAAUGGAUCAUCCGGAUAUUGCCUGUCAACCGAGCUACCUACACGCGCUGCGCUAAACGAUACUAGGUCGACCGCCGGACCGAGGUUUCUGCAGCGAAGGCAGUAUACUGAUCUGUUCUUCAAUGCCCGCGAUGUAUACCGGUGGUUCCGUGGGUAUGUUGAAGUCGAUACGUUCUUGUCGCGCCGCCUUAGAAGGCAGCACGAUCUUGCAGAACUCUUGGAAGGGCAUCA